UCCUCUGGNUUAACUGGGGGCUUGCGGUGGGUACGGGCCGGCUUGACUGCGGUAGGGGAGACUGGAACUCCUGGUGUAGCGGUGGAAUGCGCAGAUAUCAGGAAGAACACCGGUGGCGAAGGCGGGUCUCUGGGCCGUUACUGACGCUGAGGAGCGAAGGCGUGGGGAGCGAACAGGAUUAGAUACCCUGGUAGUCCACGCCGUAAACGUUGGGCACUAGGUGUGGGGGGCCUUUUCCGGGUCUUCCGCGCCGUAGCUAACGCAUUAAGUGCCCCGCCUGGGGAGUACGGCCGCAAGGCUAAAACUCAAAGGAAUUGACGGGGGCCCGCACAAGCGGCGGAGCAUGCGGAUUAAUUCGAUGCAACGCGAAGAACCUUACCAAGGCUUGACAUGUGCCGGUCGGCUCCGGAGACGGGGCUUCCUCCUUGUGGGGCCGGUUCACAGGUGGUGCAUGGUUGUCGUCAGCUCGUGUCGUGAGAUGUUGGGUUAAGUCCCGCAACGAGCGCAACCCUUGUCCCGUGUUGCCAGCACGUUGUGGUGGGGACUCGCGGGAGACUGCCGGGGUCAACUCGGAGGAAGGUGGGGAUGACGUCAAAUCAUCAUGCCCCUUAUGUCUUGGGCUUCACGCAUGCUACAAUGGCCGGUACAGAGGGCUGCGAUACCGUGAGGUGGAGCGAAUCCCUUAAAGCCGGUCUCAGUUCGGAUCGGUGUCUGCAACUCGACACCGUGAAGUUGGAGUCGCUAGUAAUCGCAGAUCAGCAACGCUGCGGUGAAUACGUUCUCGGGCCUUGUACACACCGCCCGUCACGUCAUGAAAGUCGGCAACACCCGA
rnacentral:rRNA from 1 species